rnacentral:rRNA from 1 species
UGGACCUAAAACGUGCGUAGCCGGCCUAGAAAGUCUCUGGUGAAAUCUGGCCGCUUAACUGUCAGGCCUGCCAAAGAAACUGCAAGGCUUGAAGNCGGGAAGGGUCGGAGGAAUUUCUAGGGUAGGAGUAAAAUCCUGUGAUCCUUGGAGGACCAUCGGUGGCGAAGGCGUCCGACUAGAACGGGCUCGACGGUGAGGUACGAAAGCUAGGGGAGCGACCCGGAUUAGAUACCCGGUUAGUCCUAGCCGUAAAUGAUGCUGGUUAGGUGUGACACAACCCACGCGGUUGUGUUGUGCCGUAGGGAAACCGUUAAGCCAGCCGCCUGGGAAGUACGAUCGCAAGGUUGAAACUUAAUGGAAUUGGCGGGGGAGUACUACAACGGGU